rnacentral:rRNA from 1 species
AAAAAAGGUAAGCUACUAAGAGCGAAUGGUGGAUGCCUUGACUGGUAAAGGCGAUGAAGGACGUACUAGACUGCGAUAAGCUACGGGGAGCUGUCAAGAAGCUUUGAUCCGUAGAUUUCCGAAUGGGGCAACCCAAUGUAUAGAGAUAUACAUUACCUAUAUAGGAGCGAACGAGGGGAAUUGAAACAUCUUAGUACCCUCAGGAAAAGAAAUCAAUAGAGAUUGCGUCAGUAGCGGCGAGCGAAAGCGCAAGAGGGCAAACCCAGUGCUUGCACUGGGGGUUGUAGGACUGCAAUGUGCAAGAGGUGAGUUUAGCAGAACAUUCUGGAAAGUAUAGCCAUAGAGGGUGAUAGUCCCGUAUGCGAAAAACAAACCUUAGCUAGCAGUAUCCUGAGUAGGGCGGGACACGAGGAAUCCUGUCUGAAUCCGGGUCGACCACGAUCCAACCCUAAAUACUAAUACCAGAUCGAUAGUGCACAAGUACCGUGAGGGAAAGGUGAAAAGAACUGAGGUGAUCAGAGUGAAAUAGAACCUGAAACCAUUUGCUUACAAUCAUUCAGAGCCCUAUGUAGCAAUACAGGGUGAUGGACUGCCUUUUGCAUAAUGAGCCUGCGAGUUGUGGUGUCUGGCAAGGUUAAGCAAACGCGAAGCCGUAGCGAAAGCGAGUCUGAAUAGGGCGCUUAGUCAGAUGCUGCAGACCCGAAACGAAGUGAUCUAUCCAUGAGCAAGUUGAAGCUAGUGUAAGAACUAGUGGAGGACUGAACCCAUAGGCGUUGAAAAGCCCCGGGAUGACUUGUGGAUAGGGGUGAAAGGCCAAUCAAACUUCGUGAUAGCUGGUUCUCUCCGAAAUAUAUUUAGGUAUAGCGUUGUGUCGUAAUAUAAGGGGGUAGAGCACUGAAUGGGCUAGGGCAUACACCAAUGUACCAAACCCUAUCAAACUCCGAAUACCUUAUAUGUAAUCACAGCAGUCAGGCGGCGAGUGAUAAAAUCCGUCGUCAAGAGGGAAACAACCCAGACUACCAGCUAAGGUCCCUAAAUCUUACUUAAGUGGAAAACGAUGUGAAGUUACUUAAACAACCAGGAGGUUGGCUUAGAAGCAGCCAUCCUUUAAAGAAAGCGUAAUAGCUCACUGGUCUAGUGAUUUUGCGCGGAAAAUAUAACGGGGCUAAAGUA